GUAAGCGUAGCGAUACGUUGAGCUAACCAGUACUAAUGAACCGUGAGGCUUAACCUUACAACACCGAAGGUGUUU
rnacentral:rRNA from 1 species